GGUUAAGUCCGGCAACGAGCGCAACCCACAUUCUUAGUUGCCAGCAUUCAGUUGGGGCACUCUAGGAAAACUGCCGAUGAUAAGUCGGAGGAAGGUGUGGAUGACGUCAAGUCCUCAUGGCCCUUACGGGUUGGGCUACACACGUGCUACAAUGGUAGUGACAAUGGGUUAAUCCCAAAAAGCUAUCUCAGUUCGGAUUGGGGUCUGCAACUCGACCCCAUGAAGUCGGAAUCGCUAGUAAUCGCGUAACAGCAUGACGCAGUGAAUACGUUCCCGGGCCUU
rnacentral:rRNA from 1 species